UACGUAGGGAGCAAGCGUUGUCCGGAAUCAUUGGGCGUAAAGCGCGCGUAGGCGGCCCGAUAAGUCCGCUGUAAAAGUCAACGGCUCAACUGUUGAAAGCCGGUGGAUACUGUCGGGCUAGAGUACGGAAGAGGCAAGUGGAAUUCCUGGUGUAGCGGUGAAAUGCGUAGAGAUCCGGAGGAACACCGACGGCGUAGGCAGCGCCCUGGACGACACCUGACGCUGAGGCACGAAAGCUGGGGGAGCGAACAGG
rnacentral:rRNA from 1 species